rnacentral:rRNA from 1 species
GUGUCAGCCGCCGCGGUAACACGGGGGGAGCAAGCGUUGUUCGGAAUUACUGGGCGUAAAGGGCGUGUAGGCGGUCUGGUAAGUGGGAUGUGAAAUGCCCCGGCUCACCCGGGGACCUGCAUCCCAAACUACCUGGCUUGAGUAUGGGAGAGGAUGAGGGAAUUCCUGGUGUAGCGGUGAAAUGCGUAGAUAUCAGGAGGAACACCGGUGGCGAAAGCGCUCAUCUGGCCCAAUACUGACGCUGAGGCGCGAAAGCUAGGGGAGCAAACGGGAUUAGAUACCCCGGUAGUCC